UACGUAGGGUGCAAGCGUUGUCCGGAAUUAUUGGGCGUAAAGAGCUCGUAGGCGGUCUGUCGCGUCUGCUGUGAAAACUUGGGGCUCAACCCCAAGCUUGCGGUCGAUACGGGCAGGCUCGAGUUCGGUAGGGGAGACUGGAAUUCCUGGUGUAGCGGUGAAAUGCGCAGAUAUCAGGAGGAACACCGGUGGCGAAGGCGGGUCUCUGGGCCGAUACUGACGCUGAGGAGCGAAAGCGUGGGGAGCGAACAGG
rnacentral:rRNA from 1 species